rnacentral:rRNA from 1 species
UGGGGAAUCUUCCGCAAUGGGCGAAAGCCUGACGGAGCAACGCCGCGUGAGUGAAGACGGCCUUCGGGUUGUAAAACUCUGUGAUUCGGGACGAAAGAUAAGUAGACGAAUAAUCUGCAUACGUGACGGUACCGAAAAAGCAAGCCACGGCUAACUACGUGCCAGCAGCCGCGGUAAUACGUAGGUGGCAAGCGUUGUCCGGAAUUAUUGGGCGUAAAGCGCGCGCAGGUGGUUUAGAAAGUCUGAUGUGAAAGCCCACGGCUCAACCGUGGAGGGUCAUUGGAAACUAAUAAACUUGAGUGCAGGAGAGAAAAGUGGAAUUCCUAGUGUAGCGGUGAAAUGCGUAGAGAUUAGGAGGAACACCGGUGGCGAAAGCGGCUUUUUGGCCUGCAACUGACACUGAGGCGCGAAAGCGUGGGGAGCAAACAGG